AUGGAAAAACGAGAACAGCGAAGUGAUGACUCAGCAGGGCUCACGCUCCCGUCCGGCGGGUGCCAACUGUCCCCCRCUCCCGCCUGGCCCCGGCGGAGACCACCCCGCGGAGCGGGUGCGGGGAAGGCAGCCCGCCUGGGAGCAGCGGCAGGCGAGCAGGGGCUGGGGGAGACGGCGGCCGGGCUGGAUGCCAGUGCCCCGGGCUGCCCGGGACGAAGGCUCCCGCRGUCAGCCUCCGCCCGGCCGCAGGGUGCGGAGGGGCCGCCGGGUCCUGGGAGCAGCCGGAGAGCCCUGCUCCCGGGACGGUGCGGAGCUGCCUCGGGGCACCGGCCGGCCCGGCUCUGCAGGCGGCUCCGGGUGCUCGGUGCCGGCACCUGCACGCUGGGGCCGGCGCAGGAACUCCCAGGGCGGGCCCUUACCGUACCUCCUGCCUCGCCACCCAGCCCUUCGCUGCCCUGCCUUGGCCGGCUGCCCGGAGGCAGGCGCCUCGCCAGGCGUCUCUGCCAGGUGGCUUAUCGCGAGCCCGUGGCGCUGGACACCAACUGGCGUCGGCUGCCAAGGAUGAACAAUGUAAUUGCUGGAAUUACAGUAAAGUGCUCCCAUUCCCACUCGCUCAGGGCUGAGAUGGGGCCCUCGGGUCCUUCCAGGGAACAUCUGCUCCAGCUGUGCCCGCUGCGCGCUCUGCCCUCGCCCCACGGGGCGGGCGGCCCCCGCGGUGGCGGUGCAGGGGCAGCGCCGAGCGCCGGGGCACGGAGCGGGUCUGGGGGACGCACGCAGCCUGCGGGAGCCCGCGAGAGGCCGGUGCCCUGCACCGCUCUGCGCCACCUGCAAGUGCCCCCAGCGCUGCAGCCACCACCCGGAGCGCAGGAUGCUGCCGCYGGGCGCUUGCUCCCGGUCCGCGCUGGUCCCCGCAGAUGGGGAGCCCCAGCCCACGGGAUGCGAUGGGCCGGGAGCAGCUGCUCAGCCCCGCAGUGGGAUCCUGCUGGCAGGACCCUCCCCGGAGCCCUCGACAGCGGGGAUGGUGGCUGCGCACAGUCCAGUAGCUGUGUCCGGCCAGGAUGGAGGACGGAGCGGCUCUGUGCCGCAGGGACGCCGGAGCUGUUGUGCCCGUGCUGCCGCAGCCAGGAUCUCUGCCGGCACCACCGAGCGCCCCAUGCGCGGGGAGACUUUGCACCUGCAGACACCCAUCUGCUGCUUCCCCUUUUCUCAGUGCCAGUAAGCUCCAGCCUAGCUGUCGCCCAAGCCGGGGUGGUGCUGGGCUGCACCGCGCCGGGUGCAGGUUUGGCUGCUUGUUCGUCCCCUCCUGCCGCGUGGGAGCUGCCGGAGCCGGUGCGUGGGGCCCUGCCUGCAGAACGUGCCGGCUCCGGGGACGCCCGGCUGCGGCUUCCCAGCAGCAUCCCCCUGGCCAUGCCCCUGCGGGACAGGCGCAGCCCCAGCAUCGCGUGCCAGUGGGACCAGGGUGGGCGAGCGGGGCUGCACCGGGCGCAGCCGGGCCGGGCGGGUGCAGGGUCUCACGUCCGUCAGCACCGGUGGCGGGAGCUCCGACCCGAGCUGUGCGUGCAGCAUCGCCACUGCCUGCGAUGGGGAAGAGGCCAGGGCUGGCGCGAGGACCAAGGGAUGCUCCAGGCUGGGGUUUGGCACCUGCCCAUGGCUCUGCUCUGCCAGGGUCAUCCAAGGACUCUGCACYGA
ensembl:lncRNA